UGUGAGCCUGUGAUGAAUCGCAAGGGCGGUAUCUGAGUAAGGUCGCUCUUGAAAAAGGCCUUCUUCGGUGAUUAUGCAUCCUAAUCUGAUCAUUUAUUCUGAGCAAACA